GAUGAACGCUGGCGGCGUGCCUAAUACAUGCAAGUCGAGCGAAUGGAUUAAGAGCUUGCUCUUAUGAAGUUAGCGGCGGACGGGUGAGUAACACGUGGGUAACCUGCCCAUAAGACUGGGAUAACUCCGGGAAACCGGGGCUAAUACCGGAUAACAUUUUGAACCGCAUGGUUCGAAAUUGAAAGGCGGCUUCGGCUGUCACUUAUGGAUGGACCCGCGUCGCAUUAGCUAGUUGGUGAGGUACGGGCUCAUCAAGGCAACGAUGCGUAGCCGACCGGAGAGGGUGAUCGGCCACACUGGGACUGAGACACGGCCCAGACUCCUACGGGAGGCAGCAGUAGGGAAUCUUCCGCAAUGGACGAAAGUCUGACGGAGCAACGCCGCGUGAGUGAUGAAGGCUUUCGGGUCGUAAAACUCUGUUGUUAGGGAAGAACAAGUGCUAGUUGAAUAAGCUGGCACCUUGACGGUACCUAACCAGAAAGCCACGGCUAACUACGUGCCAGCCGCCGCGGUAA
rnacentral:rRNA from 1 species